rnacentral:lncRNA from 1 species
CGAGAGUGCAUAUGGUCCUCAUCUAUUUUGAUCACUGCAAUUAUGGUUUACCCUCCCAUACUGACUUUCCUUGACAACGCCGCCGGUGAAUUGACUUGCUGUACCUUUUUCUCUCCAUCUCCACCGAUUGUAGAAGCACCAGUUGGCGCGGCGCGUACGCCUUCAUCACAUUUUUAGCGCUUUUUUGCGUCUUUCGGGAAAAAGCUUAAGUUUUUGGCGCCUUUGCGCCUUGCCAUGAAAACACAGGCGUUUUGAUAGCAGAAUUUCGCUUUCCACGCUUCAAGGCGCGC